rfam:Felis catus isolate Cinnamon breed Abyssinian chromosome B4, whole genome shotgun sequence.
ACCUGGCUGGCUCAGUCAGAAGAGCGUGUAACUCUUAAUCUCAGGGUCAUGAGUUCAAGCCCCAUGUUGGGUG